GUUCUAAUGCUACGGCGACUCGUGUAGUGUGUGUAUGUAUAUUCGUGAUGUAACACAAUAUAAUAAUAUUAUAAUGCUCAUUCAGAUGUAUAUGGCGUAGUAUUGUUGUAGUGUACGUAUUAUAGGUAAACCUACCUAUGCGGCCCACGUAAUAUUAUUAUGCGGUUGUCAGUUAUCGACACGAAUUACGACCGAAAAGCUACAUACGUUGCGUAAAGAACGAUCGUCAUCGCCGUCGUAUUAACACGACACGCAGUGCGACGCGAUUCUCGAAGAUCAUCAUCACGACGUUUGCAACGGAAGGUAUAUUAUUGUAAACAUUAUUAUUCCUCCAAUGUGCAGUACACUCGUGUCCUCUGCGUAUAUUAAAUGUAUCUAUUAAAAAUGUCACCGGUCGCAUGGGUAUAGCAGAUAUAACUCAAGUGUAAGUACCGCGUGCGUGGACCAUCGUAACUGCAUACGCCGUUAAACGUGUAUUAAUAGCCACUCACUUUUGACUAAUUUAUUCGUGUGUACGGUCGCGACACGACUAUAUUAGUUUCACUCUGAAAUGUUCCACGAAAACGCACGAUGACCACGGGGAUUCUUGUGAUGCUGCGAUAUGUACCUGUAUUGGAUGUAUCAUAGGACUGGAUCCCGGGCGUGGCAGGCAUUCAAUUACUAGCUAUGUCGUUCGUCUCCCACAAUAUAAGGAGUAGCCGUCAGUCAGGAGCAGCAGGAGCCGGCAAUAUAUCGAAGCGGCGGCGGCGGUGGCUAUCGAAUCCGUCGUGAUGUUUAAAUAACCUUUCCCUGUACAUUAUACAAUAUUAUAUUAUAAUAAUAUAAGCGAUUUGAUAUGAUCUUAAAACGCAAGAAUGUGUGUACCUAUAUAAUAAUAUAUUAAAUAGGUACUAUGUUUGUAAUUAAUUUCCUCGAAUAACUAUAUACGCCUCUCCCUCUC